rnacentral:rRNA from 1 species
UCCAGACUCCUACGGGAGGCAGCAGUGGGGAAUAUUGCACAAUGGGGGGAACCCUGAUGCAGCGAUGCCGCGUGGAGGAAGAAGGUUUUCGGAUUGUAAACUCCUUUUAUCAGGGACGAUAAUGACGGUACCUGAAGAAAAAGCUCCGGCUAACUACGUGCCAGCAGCCGCGGUCAUACGUAGGAUCCGAGCAUUAUCCGGAGUGACUGGGUGUAAAGAGUUGCGUAGGUGGCAUAGUAAGUAGCUAGUGAAAUCUGGUGGCUCAACCAUUCAGACUAUUAGCUAAACUGCUAAGCUCGAGACCGUUAGGGGUAACUGGAAUUUCUAGUGUAGGAGUGAAAUCCGUAGAUAUUAGAAGGAACACCGAUAGCGUAGGCAGGUUACUGGGACGGUUCUGACACUAAGGCACGAAAGCGUAGGGAGCAAACGGGAUUAGAUACCCCCGUAAUG